AGGAGGGUAGUUUAAUUUAAAAUGCUUGUUUGUGGCACAAGAGAUACAGUUUUAGUUCCUUCUA
rnacentral:tRNA from 1 species